GAUGAACGCUGGCGGCGUGCCUAAUACAUGCAAGUCGAGCGAACAGACGAGGAGCUUGCUCCUCUGACGUUAGCGGCGGACGGGUGAGUAACACGUGGAUAACCUACCUAUAAGACUGGGAUAACUUCGGGAAACCGGAGCUAAUACCGGAUAACAUGUUGAACCGCAUGGUUCAACAGUGAAAGACGGUCUUGCUGUCACUUAUAGAUGGGUCCGCGCCGCAUUAGCUAGUUGGUAAGGUAACGGCUUACCAAGGCAACGAUGCGUAGCCGACCUGAGAGGGUGAUCGGCCACACUGGAACUGAGACACGGUCCAGACUCCUACGGGAGGCAGCAGUAGGGAAUCUUCCGCAAUGGGCGAAAGCCUGACGGAGCAACGCCGCGUGAGUGAUGAAGGUCUUCGGAUCGUAAAACUCUGUUAUUAGGGAAGAACAAAUGUGUAAGUAACUAUGCACGUCUUGACGGUACCUAAUCAGAAAGCCACGGCUAACUACGUG
rnacentral:rRNA from 1 species